rnacentral:rRNA from 1 species
UGGGGAAUAUUGGACAAUGGGCGCAAGCCUGAUCCAGCCAUGCCGCGUGUGUGAAGAAGGCUCUAGGGUUGUAAAGCACUUUCAGUGGGGAGGAUAAGUUAUCGGCUAAUACCCGGUAAUGCAGACGUUACCCACAGAAGAAGCACCGGCAAACUCCGUGCCAGCAGCCGCGGUAAUACGGAGGGUGCGAGCGUUAAUCGGAAUUACUGGGCGUAAAGCGCGCGUAGGCGGUUUGAUAAGCUGGAUGUGAAAUCCCCGGGCUCAACCUGGGAACUGCAUCCAGAACUGUUUGACUAGAGUACAGUAGAGGGUGGCGGAAUUUCCUGUGUAGCGGUGAAAUGCGUAGAUAU